AGUGAACGCUGGCGGUAGGCCUAACACAUGCAAGUCGAACGGCAGCACAGUAAGAGCUUGCUCUUACGGGUGGCGAGUGGCGGACGGGUGAGGAAUACAUCGGAAUCUACUUUUUCGUGGGGGAUAACGCAGGGAAACUUACGCUAAUACCGCAUACGACCUACGGGUGAAAGCAGGGGAUCUUCGGACCUUGCGCGAUUGAAUGGGCCGAUGUCGGAUUAGCUAGUUGGCGGGGUAAAGGCCCACCAAGGCGACGAUCCGUAGCUGGUCUGAGAGGAUGAUCAGCCACACUGGAACUGAGACACGGUCCAGACUCCUACGGGAGGCAGCAGUGGGGAAUAUUGGACAAUGGGCGCAAGCCUGAUCCAGCCAUACCGCGUGGGUGAAGAAGGCCUUCGGGUUGUAAAGCCCUUUUGUUGGGAAAGAAAAGCAGCAGGUUAAUACCCCGCUGUUCUGACGGUACCCAAAGAAUAAGCACCGGCUAACUUCGUG
rnacentral:rRNA from 1 species